GCAGUUAAGGCGAUGGACUAGAAAUCCAUUGGGGUCUCCCGCACAGGUUUGAAUCCUGUCGACUGCU
rfam:Ixodes scapularis strain Wikel colony gcontig_1108379539427, whole genome shotgun sequence.